rnacentral:rRNA from 1 species
CCUACGGGCGGCAGCAGUGGGGAAUAUUGGGCAAUGGGCGCAAGCCUGACCCAGCCACGCCGCGUGAAGGAAGAAGGCUCUCGGGGUGUAAACUUCUUUUAAGGGGGAAGAGGAGAAGACGGUACCCAUUGAAUAGGCCACGGCUAACUACGUGCCAGCAGCCGCGGUAAUACGUAGGUUGCAGGCGUUAUCCGGAUUUACAGGGUGUACAGGACGUGCAGCGGGGAUGGCAAGUCAGAUGUGAAAUGCUGCGGCUCAACCGAGGAACUGCAUUUGAAACUGUUUUUCUUGAGUACCGGAGAGGUGAUCGGAAUUCGUGGUGUAGCGGUGAAAUGCGUAGAUAUAAGGAAGAACACCAGUGGCGAAGGCGGAUGACUGGACGGCAACUGACGGUGAGGCGCGAAAGCGUGGGGAGCAAACAGGAUUAGAUACCCUAGUAGUC